CAAAUGCAAACGCCGAUUUUACAUUUCAGCAAUUACGGACCCGAUUUCAGCUAUCACGACAUUCAGGGGAGCCAGCCACCUUCAAGCGUUAACAUUAGGAGGAGCUAUUUCUGUGAAGGCAGAUGGGGAAACUUUUAGCAGACAAGGUUUGGCUAAACAGGAUAGACCUGGUCAUUCAUCAGCAAAAAUUUUUGUACCAGCUUUUAAGACCAUCCAAGAAGAGCAUUUGCUAUCUAUCUUAAAAGAACUAAAUCCUUCAGACGUAAAGAUUAAACAAGUUUAUUUCUGACAAUGUACCUCAUUCUAAAGCUUCUUCACAAAAUUUGGCUUCAUAUAUUCUUAAAACUAUUCAAGAGGCUUAUAAAGAUAAACAUAAAAACGAAACAGCACAUUCUACAAGAGCUUUAGGUCCAAAUUCUCAACGCUGCAGAUUGGUCAAAAGAAAACACCUUCGUUAAAUUUUAUUUGAAACAAGUAACUCCAAGUGAUCUCACUGUGUAGUUCAACGUCGCUGUAUAGUUCAACCUAAGAAGAUGGAUUUUUUUCUACAUUUUUAAAUCAAAGUUUAUUCCCGACGGAUUUUGUGUGGAAUUGAUUUUUGAGAAGAUUAUAUGAUUUUAUGUAUACAUGUACAAUGUAUAUAUGGGAUAUACAGAAGUUUUAUAAAAGUUUGUUAUUCAAGAAGAAGAAUGUUUUAAAAUAAAAAAGGAGAAAAGAGAGAA